AACGAACGCUGGCGGCAGGCCUAACACAUGCAAGUCGAGCGCCCCGCAAGGGGAGCGGCGGACGGGUGAGUAACGCGUGGGAAUAUGCCCUUUGCUACGGAAUAGUCUCGGGAAACUGGGGGUAAUACCGUAUACGCCCUUUGGGGGAAAGAUUUAUCGGCGAAGGAUUAGCCCGCGUUGGAUUAGGUAUUUGGUGGGGUAAUGGCCUACCAAGGCGACGAUCCAUAGCUGGGUUGAGAGGAUGAUCAGCCACACUGGGACUGAGACACGGCCCAGACUCCUACGGGAGGCAGCAGUGGGGAAUCUUAGACAAUGGGGGCAAACCUGAUCUAGCCAUGCCGCGUGAGUGAUGAAGGCCUUAGGGUUGUAAAGCUCUUUCAGCUGGGAAGGUAAUGACGGUACCAGGAGAAGAAGCCCCGGCUAACUCCGUG
rnacentral:rRNA from 1 species